UACGUAGGGGGCGAGCGUUGUCCGGAUUUAUUGGGCGUAAAGAGCUCGUAGGCGGUUUGGUAAGUCGGAUGUGAAAUCUCCAGGCUCAACCUGGAGGGGUCAUUCGAUACUGCCAUGACUAGAGUUCGGUAGGGGUGUGUGGAAGUUCCUGGUGGAGCGGUGAAAUGCGCAGAUAUCAGGAGGAACACCGAUGGCGAAGGCAGUUCUCUGGGCCGUAACUGACGCUGAGGAGCGAAAGCGUGGGGAGCGAACAGG
rnacentral:rRNA from 1 species